rnacentral:tRNA from 1 species
GAGGAUAUAGCUCAAGUGGUAGAGCACAUGCUUAGCAUGCCUGAGAUCCUGGGUUCAAUCCCCAGAACCUCC